UAGAGAGCUCUUCCUGAGAGGGUGUCCAUAGCUCCAGCUCAGAACAGAGAUCUGCUCUGUCUCCGGUUACCAUUGGGAUGGGGCAUCCCGCCAUGAAGAUCCUGAGUCCUAGGAUAAAAAUUCCAAGCCUCUGGAUUAAAACUCCAUAGAAUUUAAUUUGUAUUGGAAACUCUGCAUCAUGAGACGCCUCAAGGGGCUUGGAUGGGAAUUUCUCUGACGGCUCCCAGCAUUUCCAUGAGCUCUGCCUGUUUCUCCCAUCAGAUGGUGCUCACAGCUUGCCGAAGGAGCAGGCCUUGAGGAACCAAAUCAAGCAAAUUCCACUCGGAGCAGCCAGGUGGCACAGCAGGGGAUGUGUCUGCACCAAAGAGCGUUAUAAUCUUGGUGCCAGCCUGUCUGCCAAGAAAGCAUUCUGGACGUGUGCUGCACAGUAGAGCUCAGCCAUAGGUCAGGCAUCUAUACUUAAGGAUACAGGAAUGCUUCAAAUGAAGACUUAUGCCUGUUGAGGGUUAAAUGCAUCCAAAUAUACAGCACCAGCUAAUGGCUUGUUCUGCCCCCUUCUCCCUGAAGCGGCUAUAGCUUAGGGUCCAGCCCUUCUCUCUGUCAGGCCACCUCCGGCAGCUUGCCCUGUUACCGUUUGCUCUGAGAGCUGGCUGCUUACGCUUGCUCUUAGAGCCAGUAGCACUGAUGUAUGAUGUUGAUAUGAAGCCCGUGUAGGGAGACCAGAGGACCCGCAGCAAGGCGUGGACAGGAACGAGACACGGCAUUGGCGAGGUCGGGCCCUGAGUGCCAGGCUUCAGUUCCGGAGGCCAAAGAUCCGGCUCUGUCUUAGGCCACAGAGAAAAAGAGUGUGGUGCCUCUCAUCCAAUUCCCUUGUGACCAGAUCAGAUGGUGAAAACAAUUUGCCGCCAUGGUUUCCAUGCUCCGGAGGCAG
rnacentral:lncRNA from 1 species